GAAACUCGCCUGCACGAAGUUGGAAUUGCUAGUAAUCGCGGAUCAGCAUGCCGCGGUGAAUACGUUCCCGGGUCUUGUACACACCGCCCGUCACACCAUGGGAGCUGGUAACACCCGAAGUCAGUAGUCUAACCGCAAGGAGGACGCUGCCGAAGGUGGGAUUAGCGACUGGGGUGAAGUCGUAACAAGGUACC
rnacentral:rRNA from 1 species